GAUGAAGAACGUAGCGAAAUGCGAUAAGUAAUGUGAAUUGCAGAAUUCAGUGAAUCAUCGAAUCUUUGAACGCACAUUGCGCCCGCCAGUAUUCUGGCGGGCAUGCCUGUUCGAGCGUCAUUUCAACCAUCAAGCCCCCGGCUUGUGUUGGGGACCUGCGGCUGCCGCAGGCCCUGAAAAGCAGUGGCGGGCUCGCUGUCACACCGAGCGUAGUAGCAUACAUCUCGCUCUGGGCGUGCUGCGGGUUCCGGCCGUUAAACCACCUUCAUAACCCAAGGUUGACCUCGCAUCAGGUAGGAAGACCCGCUGAACUUAAGCAUAUCAAUAAGCGGAGGA
rnacentral:misc_RNA from 1 species